AAUGAAGUACAUCUAAAAACCUGAUACUACAUAACAGCUUUUCACUAUAACCAGCUAUGCACAGGGAAACCAGUGUUAUCCUCGUGGGUAGUUUAAAUAAAUUUGAGUUGUUGUUGAGACCUUUUUUGGACAACAGUGCGUGUUAAUUUGGAAAUAUGUUAUACACCAUUAAGGUGAAGGUUUUACCAGACAACGGGGUGUUGAAACAAACUUGUAAAAACUCUGCUGACUUUUUAUUCAGCUGACUGUACAAGAGCACAGUUUAAAUUGAUUCAACUUUAACCUCUUUAACAUCUUCUUCUUUUUUUAAGGUAAGGGUGUCAGUUUGAAGAUCUUCUGAAAUAUUUGUUUUCUUUUGGACUGAAUUUGCCUGUCAGUGAGAAGAAAAUAAAGUGGGCUCUUCUUUUGUUUGGAGGAUUUCUGCAGCAUCACCUUUUGGAUUAAUAUUCUCAGUAGUAGCGACUGGACCAGUGCGGUCUCCACUGUCUCCCUCCUUCCCACAGCAGAUGGCUCCACCACAGGAAUGGGCUCAGACUCCAUAAGCAGCAGCCUGGCAGCCUUCUUUUCUGUCUGUCUCUCUGACUCCCCCUGACUCCCUCUUCCUCCCUUCUCUCUCUCUCUCUUUUUCCUUCCCUCUUUUUAUUCCCUGUAGUAUUCACAGUUCCUGGCUCCAGAUAAGCCAUCUGUAGCCAGUAACCUAGGUGGAAGCCAGAGGAGCGGGUUUUUGGGUCCUACCACCUAAACAUCAAAGUCUGUUUUGUUGGUGCAGGCCUGAGGACAAACACGUCUCUUUUGCACAUUUUUUUCCCCUCGAUAAUGAUUUGCAAGAAGCAUAUUUUGAUGGACUUUUAAGAUAAAAAAAAAAAGAAGAAAAAUCAUAAAUACAGGCAUAAUUAAAGCUUCAUAUUAUUAUAUAACAAACCAGGGUAGGGAAAAAUGGAAGAGUAUUGAGGCUCCGGGCAAAACAACUGACAACUGACUGAUGAGAUCUCAUUUCAACUCCAUGAAGAAUAUUCUCUAUUCUGACCUUGCCUGGUGUGUGUGUGUGUGUGUGAGAGAGAUAACAGCUGUGUGAAACAGACCUGCCUUUGUGUGUGAAUGAGGAAUUAAGCAGAAAAAAAACGACAAUUACCUCCAAAAUGUAGCUGAACAGUGUUAUGUAAUCCGCUCGUUGUCAUUGACCGUUUCGAUGUCUUUUUGUGAGGCCAAAGAUAAAGUUUACCAAACAA